GUGGGGAAUCUUAGACAAUGGGGGAAACCCUGAUCUAGCCAUGCCGCGUGAGCGAUGAAGGCCUUAGGGUUGUAAAGCUCUUUCAGCUGGGAAGAUAAUGACUGUACCAGCAGAAGAAGCCCCGGCUAACUCCGUGCCAGCAGCCGCGGUAAUACGGAGGGGGCUAGCGUUGUUCGGAAUUACUGGGCGUAAAGCGCACGUAGGCGGACCGGAAAGUUGGGGGUGAAAUCCCGGGGCUCAACCCCGGAACUGCCUUCAAAACUCCCAGUCUUGAGUUCGAGAGAGGUGAGUGGAAUUCCGAGUGUAGAGGUGAAAUUCGUAGAUAUUCGGAGGAACACCAGUGGCGAAGGCGGCUCACUGGCUCGAUACUGACGCUGAGGUGCGAAAGCGUGGGGAGCAAACAGGAUUAGAUACCCCGGUAGUCC
rnacentral:rRNA from 1 species